CAAUAGAUAGUUUAAUGUAAAAAUAUAAUAUUUGGGGUAUUAAGAUUUAUUUAUUGAAUUGA
rnacentral:tRNA from 1 species